rnacentral:rRNA from 1 species
CGGUCUCCUAUCCGCUACGGGCGCGGAAUCUUGCGCAGGCCCUUCCCUAGUACGAGAGGACCGGGAAGGACGAACCUCUAUUUUACCGGUUGUGGUACCAACUGCAUUGCCGGGUAGCUAUGUUCGGUUUGGAUAAACGCUGAAAGCAUAUAAGCGUGAAGCCGUCUGCAAGAUCAGGAUUCGUAUUCUAAGACUCCUCAGAGAUGAUGAGGUUGAUAGGCUGUAGGUCUAAGUGCAGUAAUGCAUUGAGCCAAGCAGUACUAAUAAGUCGAGUAACCAC